AGGUGCGAUCAUACCAGCACUAAUGCACCGAAUCCGGCGAGAGUAGUACUAGGAUGGGUGACCUCCUAGUAAUCCUCGUGUUGCACUUC
rnacentral:rRNA from 2 species